rnacentral:rRNA from 1 species
CACGUAGGGCGCGAGCGUUUGUCCGGAAUUAUUGGGCGUAAAGAGCUCGUAGGCGGCCUGUUGCGUCCGCUGUGAAAGCCCGGGGCUUAACCCCGGGUCUGCAGUGGAUACGGGCAGGCUAGAGGUAGGUAGGGGAGAAUGGAAUUCCCGGUGUAGCGGUGAAAUGCGCAGAUAUCAGGAGGAACACCGGUGGCGAAGGCGGUUCUCUGGGCAUUACCUGACGCUGAGGAGCGAAAGUGUGGGGAGCGAACAGG